GGGGCGGCGGGACCGGCCCGGGGAACGGGCAUGGGGGGCGCGGGGCCGCGGUGCGGGCCCGCGGGCCUGUGGGUGACGCUGGCCCUUGCCUGGGGCGCGGGGGCCGCGUUGGCCGCAGAGGGGCCGCCGGCGGGAGCGGCCGCGCCGGCGGAGCCGUGUGGGGCGGAGGGGUGGGCGCAGGACGCCGUCCCGCCGGGCGCGGCCUUCGUCGCCGCCGCGUCCUACCGCGGGCCCGGCAACAACGACACGCGGAGCAACAAGGCGCUGCCCAUCCUGCUGUGGUGGAGCGGGAGCCUCUUCCCGCACUUCCCCGGCGACACGGAGCGCAUCGACUGCCCGCGCGGGUCCUGCCUCGUCACCCGCAGCCGGCGGGUCGCCCGGCACCGCCGCACCAAGGCGCUCAUCUUCUACGGCACCGACUUCAGGGCGUACGAGGCGCCGCUGCCCCGCCUGCCCCACCAGACCUGGGCGCUCUUCCACGAGGAGUCCCCCAUGAACAACUACGUGCUCUCGCACCCGCCCGGCAUCCAGCUCUUCAACUACACGGCCACCUUCCGCCGCGAGUCCGACUACCCGCUGACGCUGCAGUGGCUGCCCGGCGCGGGGUACCUGCGGGGCCCGGCCGUGCCGCUGGCCGAGAAGGACGCGUGGCGGCGGAGGGGCUACGCGCCCGUGCUGUACAUGCAGUCCCACUGCGAUGUGCCCUCGGACAGGGACCGCUACGUGCGGGAGCUCAUGAAGUACAUCCAGGUUGACUCCUACGGGAAAUGCCUGCAUAACCGUGAGCUUCCCAGUGAACGACUGCGAGACACUUCUACAGCCACAACAGAAGAUUCUGAGUUUAUGACUUUUAUCGCCAGGUACAAGUUUCAUCUGGCCUUGGAGAAUGCCAUAUGUGAGGACUACAUGACGGAGAAGCUGUGGCGUCCCAUGCACCUGGGGGCUGUCCCAGUGUACCGAGGCUCCCCAGCUGUGCGGGACUGGAUGCCAAACAACCUCUCCAUCAUUCUUAUAGAUGACUUUGACAGCCCCCAAGAGCUGGCAAAGUAUCUUGAUUUCCUGGACAAGAAUGGAGAGGAAUAUUUGAAGUAUCUAGAGUAUAAAAACGUUGGUGGAAUCAAAAACCAGUUCUUGCUAGAGAGCUUGCAGAGGCGGGAGUGGGGCAUGAAUGACAUGACUCUGCCCAAUUACCUGAAUGGCUUCGAGUGUUUCAUCUGUGACAGGGAGAACAUCCGGGUCAAAGAGGAGCAGGAACACAAAAAGUCUCGCGGGAAAAUUCCAGCUCCCAGACCUCGCAUAGCUCAGUUCAAGCACAUGGGAUGUCCUGUGCCAACCCCUGGGUUUGGAAGUGUGGAAGACCUCGCUGAAGGAGACAGUUGGAAAGAAAUGUGGCUGCAGGAUUAUUGGCAAAGCCUUGAUCAGGGUGAGGCCCUCACAGCUAUGAUUCAUCGCAAUGAGUCGCAUCAAGGAAGAUUUUGGGACUAUAUGCAUGAGAUUUUUCUCAAGAGGACAAGGCAACACUGACCCAUCUUUGUAAGAGCUUGAUUUGAAAAUUGCGUUGAAAGUUGAGACUGUGAAUUCUUACCUCGCUUCAAAUGUUUGCCUUGAAAUACAAAAAAACCCCUCUCACAGAGACAGUUUUUUCUCAUGCAAGAAGUGAGUUUCUGUUAUGAUUGGAUUCCAGCAGUGGAGAUGUUAGCAACUGCUUUGCUUUGAUUUGAAUUUCAGCUCUCUGGUGUGAAGCUGCUUCUGACUUGCAGGUAUCAACAUGUGGGGCAAAAGAUCAGGGAUUUUUUUUUAAGUCUCCAGAAUAUUAAUUGUUUUUAUACGUAUUUUAUCAGUCACAUAUUCUCUUCAUUAAGAUGUACUUUUAGCUGCUAUUAACAAAUGGCUUUUCCAGUGAAGGAAUUACGAAAGACAAAUCUGUGGAGAGCAACUGUGCCUUACAAAAUUGCAGCAAUAAAGUCUCUUUGCCCCAAGAGUAACAGGAGGAAGUACCAAUAUAAGCAUGUCUAUCAUAGCAACUACUUAGUUCCUGAGGAGUGAUGUCCAAAGCCUCACUUUGCCGUCCUGCUCAGCAACACGAGCAUGUUUCCAACUAAUAGCAUUGAAGAUAUGGUGGUACAAGCUGAAGAGUAGCUAGCAAACUAGGUAAAAACUUCUUCUUGGGACCCUGAUUCAUUCAAUUGCUAAUUAACAACCAAGUAUUCCUUCACCACUGUUUAUUUUCUCAGUAUAUUACAAUCACCAGUCAACAAGGCUUUUUUGUUAGUCCUACAGAGUUUAUUUGUUUGUUGGUUUGCUCCAUGCCUGUACUACAGAAGGCUGUUGCAUUGAGCUUUAUGAUGGUUGCCAAGCCAGGAGUAUUUCUGAUUGUCAUGUAUCUUCUUAACGUGGGUAUGAAAGUAGUGCAGAUCUGAAGGUAACUUUAUCACAGAUAUUCUGGAGGUUUUGUCUGAGUUUUUCAAAAUACGACUUUCAGUUUGUAGUCACAUGAUCAUUUUCUGUGUUCUUAGUGUCUUCCUAGGUUUAACUAUUUUUUUACAGUCUUACAGGCGGUGAACUUGUCAAAAGGUAAUGAGUAACAGCUACCCUUCUUAGCAGUUGUGAUGCUCACCCAAGCCUUGCAUUUCUUUUGUAUCUGAGAGUUUUUUCUAUAGUAACAGAUCAUACUAGCUUUACCAUCUCCUGUAUGUCACACUACGUCCAUGAUUUAUAAACAGUGUCUCUUCCUUCUAUUAAUAUACUAAAUAUGUUUCACUUUUUGUACAUGGUGUGCAAGAAUUAGGGCUGAAAUAUUUAUUCCGGUCGUAGUGUGAAUGCGUUGUGUAGCUGCCAGGCAAACUGCAGGGGCAGGGGAGGUGGGAAUCCUCCCCAGCCUGGUUAAAGAGUUGUGGUUGCAGUUCUGUUUGAUGCUGACUGACCUUCACAACAUCUACUUCUCUGCACAGCAAGGACUGCCAAAUGUUGAAUAAGGUGGUUCUACCACCAUGGUCUUAGCUUUCAUCUCUCUCCUGUUAUUUGGAGGAGGCAGGAGGAGAAGCUGGGUCUCAUACCCUUGAAGAGUUUGCAAUCAAUUUACUUAAUAAUGCAUUUUAAAGGCUUGCUAUAUAGUGCCAACAAGUACUGCCAGUCUUAGCCAAAGUAAAUUCAAUUUACAAUCCUAGUUGUCUUUCUACUAAUGGAAGUAUGUGAAUGCAGACAAGGAGGAAGGUCACUGCAGCAAUUGCUAAUAUUUUGGAAAAAGGUUCCUGAUUUCUGUUCUUAACUGGAUUUCUCACUUUACUGCUUUAAAUUCAAAACAGUUAAUGGUGGCUGAAUGUAAUCACUCAUAUUGUGAGGCUACAUGAUACUCAGACAUGAUAGAUGUGAUAGAUGUAUUCGACAUCUAAAUCAUAUUCUUACAGUGCAGGUACUCGUAUUCAUAAAAACACACCAUUGAGACUAAUCAGGAAUUUUAGCAAAGAUGCCAAAUAUUGAGGAUGAUUAAGAGAUUGCUCCUGUAAACCCUUUGGUAGGCUCCUGCAAACUAGGGUGAGUGGCUUCACUGCUUAUCAUGCAUUUUGCCUGUUUACUGUGUGACUACAGGGAGGCUUUCAAAGCUGUCAGGAUAGCUUUAUUCAUUAGCAUUAAUGUUCUAAAAAUAGAUAUCUCCUUAUUACUGCUCACAUGAAACACUAGUACAUUCUGUUGAUGCUGUGUCUCAGAAUUGACAUGACAAGCUAGGAUAAGUUUAUGGCCUGCGAGAGGUGAGAGAGGAGAAAUAAAUGUCUGACAGAAGGUUAAAAAUCUAGCAGUCCAGUGCAUUGCAUUGGACAAGCUACAGCUCUCAUUCUCCUGCCAAAACUGUGAUACCUAGUGCUGCCUGUUUUUUCAGUAAGAAGCUGGGUAUUUUUUAUAAUGAAUUAGUAGUCUGUGUUUUCUGUCCUUUAGCAAGGACUUCAAUGUGUAGGAACCAUAUAACCUCACUGAAGUAUAGUGAUUUGAUUCCUAAUAUUGAUGAUUUCUAGAACUCAGAAAGAAUUGCCUUUUUUUAUUUCUGUCACUGUAGUAAUUUUUGAACUGAAAAAUUUCUGGGUCCCCUGUGAUGGUAAGUAGAAUGAGAACAAAGCAACAGUGGAUGUAUAUGUUUAGAGGGAAAGGAGAACGAGCUGCUUUCUCUGGAAAUGAUCUCCAGAAUGCAGCAGCUGGAGAAUCACAGCAGAAAUCCCCUCUUGCACCUUGGCAGAGGGUAGUUUUAAUGGUGUGGAAGAAAAGUAACUCCUAAAGGACUGGGAACAGGAUAAAUUGAAUUGAAACUCAGCCAUCAGGGACAUCUGUGUUUAAACAGGCUUUACUGUGUUAGACAAGCAGCCAUCUGCCUCUCUUCCUGACCUGCCAUACACACUCUUCAGCCACUGUCCCAAGAGAGCCACUCCCUUAAUCAUUAGUUGUCAUCCCUCUGGUUAUAUUUAAUUAAGAUUAUUGAUGGAUCUCCAGGCACCUUCUGAGAAGUUGUAUUAAUUGGAAACAUACAGGGUGGCAGAUUCCGUCAUUCUGCCCAGAGACCUCUACUGACAGGCUGAUAUUAAUCAGAGACAAAAUCCUUUUAGUGAUAUGAUGAACUGAGCCAAAACCUGUCAGGCAUUAACAAAUUUUACCUUUCUUUAUGAUUCAUUGUCUCAGAGCUGGCAGUGAGAGAUAUAUGGCCCUGCAGAGGGAUUAGGAAGGGUGGAGAAGAAUGGAGCUGCAGGAUUUGUUCCAGAGCUCUGACACCACUGGCAUAUUAAUUUGUAUACUGUUAUAUACAUUCUGUCCUGCAGAAAAUACCCAUUUAAUGCACAAGUGUCUCAACUAGAGAUGUUUCUGGGGAUCUUGGAAUGGAUCAGAGCAGAUCAUGAUAGUUUCUGGCAUCUCUGAGCAAAUAAGGAGGCAUCAGCUAAUUUGCUGGAAAUGGCUGGAUUUCUUAGAUCCUAGGAGUUAGGGAUUAGGGAUGGCAGUUCAAAACUACAGAGGUAGACAGAACAAUGCAGGGCAGCUGCAGCUGAUCUGAUUGAGAGCUCAGGAUAAAGUAGGCUGGUGUUGGAAUUGGGGCGGGGCGUGACAUGUCAGAAAAGAAAUUGCAUCUGUCAUGGUGCUAGUGAAUGCAUUUGUGCUAAUAAGAACAUUAAGUGCUAAUAUUGUCCAAACCCGAUAACUCAGCAGACAGGAGUUAAGUCAAAACCACCUGGAAUCUCACCAAAUGGGUUCGUUCACUACUAAAGUGGAGGUGCUUUAAAUUUUAAGGCAUCUCCAAUUAAAUUGGGUUAAGAAGGUCAGGGUGAGACAGUCGAGAAUAAAUUGUGGUAAGUGAGGGCAUUAUGAAGUGAUAUGAGACUAACUGGUGCAUUCUGGGUAAAUUUGGGUGAAUAUACUGGAAUUUACCUGGAAGCUGGAUCCAGGCAGUUCAAAAAGACAUGGAUAUCAACUCUAUUCUUUUUUCCCCAAUACAACUGAUUUCUUAACCUCAUCUCCUAAUUGUUUGUUAGGCAGUAUCUGGAGGGUUUACAUAGCUAAACCGGAAAGUGAAGGAUAGAUACAUGGUGUAAUUUCUCACCUCUGAAAGAGGUAUUUAAGACAACAAUCUCAUUUUAAGGGUGUAUUUUAUUACAGCAUUGUUAGCAUUGUAUUUAUUUGUGGCAUCGCAUUUGCUGUAACAUCAUACCUGGCUCUUACUCAGUUGUGAUAUAGAUUCUUUUUAAAUCUAAUACUCAUAGUUUAAUCUCUGUGGUUUAUUUUGAUUUUGACUAGCUGAAAUGCAGGCGAGGAUUCACCUUUAACUAUGCUGAUCUAAGAUAACAAGCUGUACAUGCAGUUAGACUUUCACAUGGUUUUUAUAGUUGUACGUUCAGAAUUCACAGUGAAACAUCUGUGUGGUUCACUGCUGAGAGAAUUUGGUUUCUGACUGUCCCUCUAAAGUCAGCACUUCUGUCCCUUCCAUUAGUGUCUCAGUGCUAUCAGCUAAACAAAAUACAGGCUAGAGAGAGACUUGGCUACUGAGUAACACACCCCUUCUGUAGUUCCACAUUCUCCCUUAAAAUAAAUGUUCAGUAUUAAUCAUG